ACUAUUUAUUUUAUUGGUUCACGAACCACCAUCCCUAGAAAAAGUUCCCUACUAAACUUCUGUGGACGGUUUAAAGACAUGAAAUAGAUCAAGUUCGUUCCGAAACCAAGAAAGGACUGCGCUAUUUGUGUGCGUUCAUCUUCCAGUCUAAGAAGAUAGACUGAAGAGUACUGCCUCUAAAAUGAGUCUCUCUGGGGAGAGCGAGGAGGGGGACACUGCCUCUAAAAAUAGUAUUUUUGGGGAACAUGACAUUACAGCUAAUAGGGUAAUCCAGCAGAAGAGACCAGUCUCCCCUGUACCCAACUGUGUGUCCAUGAAG